AGGUGAACCUGCGGAAGGAUCAUUACCACACCUAAAAAACUUUCCACGUGAACUGUCGUUAUUUGUUGUGUGUCUGCGCGUUGCUGGCGUGCGUUUGCUUACGCUUCGGUGUUUGCGAGUGCGUGCUGGCGGUGCGCGGACUGAACGAAGGUCGUGUUGCUGUGUGCCUGCUGCCCUGCUGACUUUGCAUUGAUUUGCAUGGUCUUGGCGGAGCGGCGGGUGCUGUGCGUGCGCGGCUGACUUACUUUUUCAAACCCCAUACCUAACUUACUGAUUAUACUGUGAGAACGAAAGUUCUUGCUUUUAACUAGAUAACAACUUUCAGCAGUGGAUGUCUAGGCUCGCACA
rnacentral:misc_RNA from 1 species